UUGCUGUGAUCACACCACUGCACUACAGCCUAGGCAACCCAGCCAGACCCUGUCUCAAAAAAAUGUAUAACUAUUUAUAGAAGUGUGCAAGCGUGAAAGCGCUGGCUCCCAGGACAGCCACGAAGCCACGGGUCGUUGACACAGCCGAGUGGGCGCCAUUGCCGGAGCGGGAACCCGCCUGAGGGUCUUCACGGGGUCUGAGUGGGCGCCAUUGCCGGAGCCGGAACCCGCCUGAGGGUCUUCACGGGGUCUGAGUGGGCGCCAUUGCCGGAGCGGGAACCCGCCUGAGGGUCUUCACGGGGUCUGAGUGGGCGCCAUUGCCGGAGCCGGAACCCGCCUGAGGGUCUUCACGGGGUCUGAGUGGGCGCCAUUGCCGGAUCCGGAACCCCGCCUGAGGGUCGUCACGGGGUCUGAGUGGGCGCCAUUGCCGGAUCCGGAACCCGCCUGAGGGUCUUCGCGGGGUCUGAGUGGGCGCCAUUGCCGGAUCCGGAACCCCGCCUGAGGGUCUUCGCGGGGUCUGAGUGGGCGCCAUUGCCGGAUCCGGAACCCCGCCUGAGGGUCUUCACGGGGUCUGAGUGGGCGCCAUUGCCGGAGCGGGAACCCGCCUGAGGGUCUUCACGGGGUCUGAGUGGGCGCCAUUGCCGGAGCCGGAACCCGCCUGAGGGUCUUCGCGGGGUCUGAGUGGGCGCCAUUGCCGGAGCGGGAAUCCCACCUGAGGGUCUUCACGGGGUCUGAGAGGGCGCCAUUGCCGGAGCCGGAACCCGCCUGAGGGUCGUCACGGGGUCUGAGUGGGCGCCAUUGCCGGAUCCGGAACCCCGCCUGAGGGUCUUCACGGGGUCUGAGUGGGCGCCAUUGCCGGAUCCGGAACCCCGCCUGAGGGUCUUCACGGGGUCUGAGUGGGCGCCAUUGCCGGAUCCGGAACCCGCCUGAGGGUCUUCGCGGGGUCUGAGUGGGCGGCAUUGCCGGAUCCGGAACCCCGCCUGAGGGUCUUCGCGGGGUCUGAGUGGGCGCCAUUGCCGGAUCCGGAACCCCGCCUGAGGGUCUUCACGGGGUCUGAGUGGGCGCCAUUGCCGGAGCGGGAACCCGCCUGAGGGUCUUCACGGGGUCUGAGUGGGCGCCAUUGCCGGAGCCGGAACCCGCCUGAGGGUCUUCGCGGGGUCUGAGUGGGCGCCAUUGCCGGAGCGGGAAUCCCACCUGAGGGUCUUCACGGGGUCUGAGAGGGCGCCAUUGCCGGAGCCGGAACCCGCCUGAGGGUCGUCACGGGGUCUGAGUGGGCGCCAUUGCUGGAUCCGGAACCCCUCCUGAGGGUCUUCACGGGGUCUGAGUGGGCGCCAUUGCCGGAUCCGGAACCCGCCUGAGGGUCUUCACGGGGUCUGAGUGGGCGCCAUUGCCGGAUCCGGAACCCCGCCUGAGGGUCUUCGCGGGGUCUGAGUGGGCGCCAUUGCCGGAGCGGGAACCCGCCUGAGGGUCUUCACGGGGUCUGAGUGGGCGCCAUUGCCGGAUCCGGAACCCCUCCUGAGGGUCUUCACGGGGUCUGAGUGGGCGCCAUUGCCGGAUCCGGAACCCGCCUGAGGGUCUUCACGGGGUCUGAGUGGGCGCCAUUGCCGGAUCCGGAACCCCGCCUGAGGGUCUUCGCGGGGUCUGAGUGGGCGCCAUUGCCGGAUCCGGAACCCGCCUGAGGGUCUUCACGGGGUCUGAGUGGGCGCCAUUGCCGGAUCCGGAACCCCGCCUGAGGGUCUUCACAGCAUCUGAGUGGGCGCCAUUGCCGGAGCCGGAACCCGCCUGAGGGUCUUCGCGGGGUCUGAGUGGGCGCCAUUGCCGGAGCGGGAAUCCCGCCUGAGGGUCUUCACGGGGUCUGAGUGGGCGCCAUUGCCGGAGCGGGAAUCCCGCCUGAGGGUCUUCACGGGGUCUGAGGGGAAAGCAGGGCCGGGGUGGGCGUGUGGAAGGUUUUGGGGUGUGGCUUCAGGUGAGUCUUCAGGAGGCUUCGUUAGGAUUGGGCAUGUUUGGGACGGAAGUGGUUCGGGACUGAUGGACAUAAGAAGGGUUUGGAGUGAGUCUGGAGACUGAGCCCAGCUGUGCUGUCCGCUCACAGGUCCUAGGCAACGACUGUCAGGAAGUUCCCAAAAUAAGUCACUCACAACCUCAUCGUCCUGGUUUGGACCUUUUGUCAAUAAAGCCACUAUGAGGAUCUGUGUGCCAAUCUUCUUGUGGAGAACUUUUUAUUGAGGAGUGGAACUGCCAGUUCCCAUGCUGGCAAGGCGAACCCAUGGGGCGGUUACAGUGUCUGCAACGCAGACACAAGCGACAGAGACUUGAUCAGAAUAUACAAGGAACUCUGCAAGUCAGCGAUGGUAAGAAGCAGGGCAGCUGGGCCUCCUACGCCUGCCUCGCCGUUCGGUCCCCCGGACACCUCUGGGCUUAGGACUCAGGGGAACAGAUUCCCAGAAGCAGGUUCCCCGCCGCG
rnacentral:lncRNA from 1 species